UGGGGGAAUAUUGCACAAUGGGCGAAAGCCUGAUGCAGCAACGCCGCGUGAGUGAUGAAGGUCUUCGGAUUGUAAAGCUCUGUCUUUUGGGACGAUAAUGACGGUACCAAAGGAGGAAGCCACGGCUAACUACGUGCCAGCAGCCGCGGUAAUACGUAGGUGGCGAGCGUUGUCCGGAUUUACUGGGCGUAAAGGGUGCGUAGGCGGAUGUUUAAGUGAGAUGUGAAAUACCCGGGCUUAACUUGGGUGCUGCAUUUCAAACUGGAUAUCUAGAGUGCAGGAGAGGAGAAUGGAAUUCCUAGUGUAGCGGUGAAAUGCGUAGAGAUUAGGAAGAACACCAGUGGCGAAGGCGAUUCUCUGGACUGUA
rnacentral:rRNA from 1 species